UACGAGGAUGCGAGCGUUAUCCGGAUUUAUUGGGUUAAAGGGUAGCGUAGGCGGUCUUAUAAGUCAGUGGUGAAAAUCCUUGUCGGCUUAACGACAAACGUGCCAUUGAUACUGUAGGACUUGAGUACAGAUGCCGUUGGCGGAAUGUGUCAUGUAGCGGUGAAAUGCAUAGAUAUGACACAGAACACCGAUUGCGAAGGCAGCUGACGAAACGUGA
rnacentral:rRNA from 1 species